UUGGAGGGCAAGUCUGGUGCCAGCAGCCGCGGUAAUUCCAGCUCCAAUAGCGUAUAUUAAAGUUGUUGCAGUUAAAAAGCUCGUAGUUGAAUUUCGGGGUCAGUAGGUUGGUCAUGCCACUGGUAUGUACUGGUCUCACUGAUUCCUCCUUCCUGAUGAGCCGUAAUGCCAUUAAUUUGGUGUUGCGAGGAAUCUGGACUGUUACUUUGAAAAAAUUAGAGUGUUUAAAGCAGGCUAACGCUUGAAUACAUUAGCAUGGAAUAAUGAAAUAGGACGUUCGAUCUUAUUUUGUUGGUUUCUAAGAUUGACGUAAUGAUUAAUAGGGAUAGUUGGGGGCAUUAGUAUUCAAUUGUCAGAGGUGAAAUUCUUGGAUUUAUUGAAGACUAACUACUGCGAAAGCAUUUGCCAAGGAUGUUUUCAUUAAUCAAGAACGAAAGUUAGGGGAUCGAAGACGAUCAGAUACCGUCGUAGUCUUAACCAUAAACUAUGCCGACUAGGGAUCGGAUGAUGUUAAUUUUUUAAUGACUCAUUCGGCGCCUUACGGGAAACCAAAGUGUUUGGGUUC
rnacentral:rRNA from 2 species